GUGCGUAGUAGGUGAAGGACUAUGUUGUGAGGCAGAGUAAGUGAAGUAGGCCUAUACUGAUACUUUGGACUGUUCAUUAUUUGUGCUAUUUUUGUUUGUUUUUGGUAGGGAAAAGUAUUUUUUUGGUAGGGAAAAGUAUUUUAUUAGUGUUGCUAUUUUUGAAUAUGGUGAAAAUAAAUCAUUGGAAUUAACAGAAGCUACAUCCACCUCUCCUGCAAGUGCCUUUUUCUCCAUUUCCACCUAAACUCACAAUCCAACAUGUGGGUUGACCACCCGGUCGCUCACACAUGCAGAUAAAUAGUUAUUAAAUUACAAUCAAAACAACCAGACAUAAAAGAACUGAACAGAGAGAUUUUAUCUGUUUUUAAUAUCAAUCAGGUGUCAUCUGCAAAUACAACAGAUGCAAUACAAGUAGGCUACAAAUGCAAUACAAUGCACUUAUGCAAAAACACAAACAUUCACAAUGUAACAACAUGAUUCACAAGAUAAAUCAAAUUUACAAUCACAUUCAUAUUAAUUAUUUAUCUAUGGUUUCGUAAAGUGAUCACACUUUACUUUGAGCUACAGACUACAGGUGCUCCGCUAAUCAACAAACUACAUGACAUGUUAUGGUUAAGGUCAGGGUUAGGGGUAGGGUUUGGUUAUGGUGAUGUUAACUGCUACAACUGCUCGAUUGUUGCUAUUUUCAUAUUUAGGCUGCUGCUUUAUUUAUUUGUUUUUUUUUUGUUUGCUCACCAACACGUUACUUAGUCUUUUUAUUGACUUGGAUUCUUUUGGCAUAAUUAUGCUUGUGUGUUCUCUGCAUGGUUGUGUGUGUGUGUGUACCCCAUAGGUCCAGCUGUGAAGUACACACACAGGGUGCUGAUCACACACUCUCAUGAACCAUUCAGCAACAUCAACAUGCAACAUCAAAACACUGCUGUUGAUUUUACUCUUGUUCUUUUUCCCUCCUCCUCCUCCUCUUCAUGUGCUGUGCUUGUGAUGGACAUGUGUGGGGCUACUGGAUCCCUCGAAACAAACACAUGGCAAACACCAUGGCAAAGAGCUGCAGGGAAGCAUAGAGAUAUACACUUCCAUUUCAGAAAGUCUUAAUGGAACUUGGCAUUGGAAUGGUUUGGCAGACCAUUGUGGAUGUUACAAGGCCUGUGGUGUCUGCGCUGCAUGACUCAGUAAACAUGGACUGUGGCUCAGUCCCUUCACUCUGAUAAGAGACCAGGAAUCUGCGUGGAGUCUGCUUCAUCUCAGGAUGCACCCCCCAGCUGAG